rnacentral:rRNA from 1 species
GACGAACGCUGGCGGCGUGCCUAACACAUGCAAGUCGAGCGGAGUCGAUCGACGGAAGCCUUCGGGCGGAAGAUGGUUGACUUAGCGGCGGAUGGGUGAGUAACGCGUGGGCAACCUGCCUCGAAGACCGGGAUAACAGCCCGAAAGGGCUGCUAAUACCGGAUGUGGUCAAGGAUCCGCAUGGAUUUUUGAUUAAAGGGGAAACCCGUUUCGAGAUGGGCCCGCGUCCUAUCAGCUAGUUGGUGAGGUAAAAGCUCACCAAGGCGACGACGGGUAGCCGGCCUGAGAGGGUGACCGGCCACACUGGAACUGAGACACGGUCCAGACUCCUACGGGGGGCAGCAGUGGGGAAUCUUCCACAAUGGGCGAAAGCCUGAUGGAGCGACGCCGCGUGAGCGAAGAAGGCCUCGGUGUAACUAGCUUUCCUAGGGGCGGAAUAGCUCUUACGUGUAAGGGUAGUAGACUGUACCUUGGGUAAUAAGACAUCGGCUAACUCCGUGCCACGCAGCCGCGGUAAAGAGUAGUAA